UGGAGAAUGAUCUUCCUCUUCUGUGGACUGGGACUGACAGCAGCAGUGGCAUUAUGCAGAACACACAACAGGAGGGCCGAAGAAGGAAGUGACAUCACACGAUUGGGGCAAAGCUGAAAUGGUUCUCAGAGCCGUUCCCUUUGGAGCUUUUUUAUUCGCUAAUCUGAUAGAUCUCCUCGUCGCAGCUCAGAGAUUUCUGGCAGCUGUUGUUCGUCGAUGUAAUAAUAGUAAAAAAAGAUGAAAAUCGCAACAAAUCUGCUCACAUUGACAGCUGCAGCUCUGUGAAAGGAGAGUUGGUUCUGAGUUCUGUGAGCUGCUGAUAUACAGGAACAGAUCUACAAUGUUUAAGUGAUUAGAAGACGUCACUGACCAGUCUGUUGGCUGUAUCGUCUUUAUAACGACUUAUCUUUACAGUCUGAUAUUCAUUAGCUUGAUGGCGAACUGACAAACAUCAUAUGUGUGAUUCAUGACACAAUUCAGACAGGAUCAAUGUCAGUGAACAUCAGGUCUCAUCAUGUUGUACUGCAGCUGUCAGGUCAAAGUGCAGAUUGAUGUGAAAAGGAUCCACUGCAUUAUGACUCAACAUAACUGGAACAUUAACAACAGAAGCAGUUCACCAGCAUGAACAUAUUCAACCUGUUUAAAACUUAUGAUUCAUUUAGUUUUACAAUCAUUUGUGUAAAAUCACAGAUAUAUUGUGUGGGUAUAAAAACACAGAACUGUGAAAUUUCACAUUUGUACCUUUUGUCGAGGUAUUUUAAGAUUUGACAUCUGCAUGUUUUACUCGUGUAAUAAUGCACUUUGUGAACGUGUGUAAUCCAGGAGUUGACUGCAUUUCUUAUGAAGAUAAUCAUUUCUCAGUAUUUGUUGCACAUGAUCUCUAAUAAAGUCCAGCAGGUCAGCAGGCA